AAGACUGUACUUUCAGGGAUUAUUUCUAUAGUUAUUGCCUUGAGAAAUGUGUUUCUAAAGUGUAUGGUCUCGCUAGCCCUGAUGAUGAGAUGUGAUAUUCCUUCCUGAACAUGAACCUGACAGACAAUAGUGAUUCUAUCAUAUUGUAGCGUUGCGUGUGUGUUGUAUUGUAUAUAUGUAUACUGUAUAUAUGCUGUAGUUUCAUGCAUGGACGCUGGGGGGC